ACCUGGAACAGCUGGCCCCCUACCCCAAGCUUCCCCAAGGACUGCACGCAGCCUGUGUUAGAAUGUUGGGGCACUGCAGGCCUCAGAAAACAGAAUCUCGCUCUCGUCUUCUCGUGGCCUCCUUUCACCUGGCUGAGCAAGACCCUGAUCCAAUUGCAGGUCAUAAGACUUUCUUUCCAUUGAGGGCCCCAUACCCAGGAGGAAGGAAUGCCACACAGAGAGGCCACGGAGAAUCUGAACAGACAGGCCUUGCUGGGCUUCCCGAGUCUGUUGGUAGUAGAUCACACCCUUUUUGUCCAGUCACAUUUCAACACGGUUGCCCAUGCUUCAAUCAUGCCUAUCCAAUGAAGUCUCCAUGAAAGGCCCAGGAGGACAGGGUUAGGGGAGCUUCCAGAGAGCUGAACGUGAGCAGGCUGACAGGAAAGUGAACAGGAACCCAUCCACGUGCUGAGGGGGUGGGAUGCACCCCAACCCCAUGGGAACAGAAGCUUCUGCACUCGGGACCCUUGCGGACCUCACCCUGUUGUCUCUUCAACUGGCUGUUUAUUUCCAGCCCUGCACUUGGGGCCCGUGCACAUCCAGGGAUUGCCUGAAAGGAACAGGCCUGCAGCUCUGCCAGAUCCAGGGUCUUGCUCUGUUGCCUCAGCUGGAAUACAGUGGUGU